AAUCAACGCUGGCGGCGUGCCUAACACAUGCAAGUCGAACGCGAGAGGGGCUUCGGCCCCGAUUGAGUGGCGAACGGGUGAGUAACACGUGGGUGACCUACCUUCGAGUGGGGAUAACGUCCCGAAAGGGACGCUAAUACCGCAUAACAUUCCGCUUUUGAACAAGUGGAAAUCAAAGCCGGGGAUCGUAAGACCUGGCGCUUGAAGAGGGGCCCGCGUCCGAUUAGCUAGUUGGUGAGGUAACGGCUCACCAAGGCGACGGUCGGUAGCCGGCCUGAGAGGGCGGACGGCCACACUGGGACUGAGACACGGCCCAGACUCCUACGGGAGGCAGCAGUGGGGAAUUGUUCGCAAUGGGCGCAAGCCUGACGACGCAACGCCGCGUGGAGGAUGAAGGUCUUCGGAUUGUAAACUCCUGUUGCUCGGGACGAAAUGCUCCAGCCUAACACGUUGGAGUUUGACGGUACCGGUGAGGAGCCCGGCUAACUCUGUGCCAGCCGCCGCCGUAAC
rnacentral:rRNA from 1 species